rnacentral:tRNA from 1 species
UCCCUCGUGGCGCAAUUGGAUAGCGCGUUAGACUGUUAUUAAUAAUAGCCUAUCUAAAGGUUGGUGGUUCGAGCCCACCCGAGGGAG